UACGUAGGGUGCGAGCGUUGUUCGGAAUUACUGGGCGUAAAGCGCACGUAGGCGGGUUCUUAAGUCAGGGGUGAAAUCCUGGAGCUCAACUCCAGAACUGCCUUUGAUACUGGGAAUCUCGAGUCCGGGAGAGGUGAGUGGAACUGCGAGUGUAGAGGUGAAAUUCGUAGAUAUUCGCAAGAACACCAGUGGCGAAGGCGGCUCACUGGCCCGGUACUGACGCUGAGGUGCGAAAGCGUGGGGAGCAAACAGG
rnacentral:rRNA from 1 species